UGCUCCAGUGGCGCAAUCGGUUAGCGCGCGGUACUUAUACGACAGUGUGUGCGCGAGAGCGAUGCCGAGGUUGUGAGUUCGAGCCUCACCUGGAGCAUUAUUUUC
ensembl:miRNA